GAUGAACGCUAGCGGGAGGCCUAACACAUGCAAGCCGAGCGGUAUUUGUUCUUCGGAACAGAGAGAGCGGCGCACGGGUGCGGAACACGUGUGCAACCUGCCUUUAUCUGGGGGAUAGCCUUUCGAAAGGAAGAUUAAUACCCCAUAAUAUAUUGAGUGGCAUCAUUUGAUAUUGAAAACUCCGGUGGAUAGAGAUGGGCACGCGCAAGAUUAGAUAGUUGGUGAGGUAACGGCUCACCAAGUCAAUGAUCUUUAGGGGGCCUGAGAGGGUGAUCCCCCACACUGGUACUGAGACACGGACCAGACUCCUACGGGAGGCAGCAGUGAGGAAUAUUGACAAUGGGUUAGCGCCUGAUCCAGCCAUCCCGCGUGAAGGACGACGGCCCUAUGGGUUGUAAACUUCUUUUGUAUAGGGAUAAACCUACUCUCGUGAGAGUAGCUGAAGGUACUAUACGAAUAAGCACCGGCUAACUCCGUG
rnacentral:rRNA from 1 species